GGCAAAUUGAUCAGUACAGUUGAUUAUUCUAAUCAGUGUUGUUUUCUGUUCUCUUCACAGCUUGCUGGGUUCAUCUAUGCCUGUUAUGUUGUGAAGCUCAUUUCUGAAGAGGAGGACAGCUUUGACUUUAUAGGAGGGUUUGAUUCAUACGGUUACCAAGGGCCACAGAAGACAUCACAUUUGCAACUACAACCAAUGUACAUGUCAAAGUAAAAGGAUAACUGCCUUAUCAACCAAUCAAAAUGAUGAACUGAUGUUUGAACUUGUCUUUCUACGUAAAUGUCUUAACAUAAUAGUGUCUUACGGACUGUCGGAGGAACACAGAACCGACGCUUUAACCUCAAAGACUCAAGCAAAAGAGUGGAUUUUCUUUGUCUACGCCCAGCCCUUCCUCCUCCAGAGCCCUGCCGGCAGGCGCGAGAGAGCCCUCGUGUGGCCGAACCCCCUCAGCAGACUCUCGUCUCGUUGCAGCCAUUAGCAGUGCAAAUUGGAGGAGCAGAUUGCGUCGAUGUCUGCGGACAGAUCUGCAAUAAGAAAGACUUGGAAUCGUGCAAUGGACCGAAUGGAUAUAGUGUCAGUGUGUCCAACUGACUUUCACGGAAUCCAUCCAUACUUAAAGAAUGUUCAUUAACCAGUCAGUAUAAUAUUAGUUAUCUAGUCCUACAGUCCUUCAAAUGGUGACUGGAGUGGAGAGUCGUUAUUCCGGUUGUUUACAAAGGGUUAUUCCAAGCAUUGGGAUUGCCUUCGGUGUUUAAUUGCAACCCAAGUAGUUUUUCUUCUUUCUCCUGGAUGUACUCGUCUUGAAAGUGCCAAGAACAGUUAAGAAAAAAAACAAAAACGAAUAAAGAAAUCAGUAGCUGCUAAGAGAUUCAUAUUUUUUGGAGUUAAACGACAGUCCUAAAAAAUACCUAUGAGUUUAUCCGUUCGAUGUCACCAUGGGAUUCAGCCGUAUUUGUUUGCAUGAGGUGUCAAAAUCUGUUGCGUAUUUAAUAUCUUUCAGCUAGACAUAGGCCGACCUUGGAAGGGGUAACAGUUGGCCUACAGCGACUGUCCUUGCUCCGAAAGGUUACUUGUGAAUAUUGUUGUUUUUUAAGACGGUGUUGAGUCUUGUUAACAAGAUAACGAUUAGAAAACCAAUUGUAACUUCUUUCUAUUUUAAGCCUUUUUUAACAUGUGUGCCAGUGUUCACUCUUUUCUAGUAGACUAAUAAUUUGUUAUGCCGUGUAAGUGGGCCUUUCUUUUUCGAUAUACCUGUACAUAUUGAGGGGGGAUAGGGAUAGAGAUGCAGUAUUUGUAGUGAUGUGAUGUGCGAGGAGGUGUGUGGAAGAGUCUACUUGGGUUAAAACGUUUUGUUUUGUGUAGUAACAGGUAUAACCCAAGAAUAACAGUUCUCUAAAUCGUUAAUAAGAGUCUCUAAAUCGUUUCUUAACGCAAUUGUUUCCCAACUUUUAAGCGAGAGGUUAGAAUUGCGCAAAAUGCUGAAGCUGUUCAGAUGUUUCCCCUGGAUUUAGCUGUGCUGUAUGGCUUCUUUUGUAACCUGCUUCCUGAAUGAAUAUCAAGAAGAGAGUUUCUUUUUAUGCUGCACUUUCAAUCGCCUAAAAUACUGCGCCUAUUGUAGCCCUUGGAUGAUACGCGAAAGCGUGAAAUGUCUUCAUUUCGGUCAAACUACCAUGCCAAACACAGCUGAAUAACGCAUUUUCCCCUUCCUCAACAGAUAAUGGAUGAUGAAAUAUGUAUUUCUCCACUGUAUAUUAUCUUUUCCUUUAAACUGAUUCUAGUAACUGUGUGGGGUUGACAUAUUUCUGCGGUUUGGUGUAGAGAAAGUGCCUAAAAUGACAUCCUGUUAACAUUCCAAUAAAUGGCAAUCUGCUCUCACCCAGAACGGCUGUACAUAAACCGAGGGUCUGACUGAGCUGUGUUUAAUCAAACCCCUUGUGAACUGCACUGGCAAAGCUAAGUGGCUUUGAUAAUUAAUAAAGAUAUUUUAGCCGCACCACUCUCCAGAACUCACUGGCAAAUAAUUCCCUGCAGUCCUUCGCUGCAGUCUUUGUGCAUCCGACUCAAUGUGGAGUGACGUUUGAAUGGGUAAUGCGAUUCAAUAAGAAUGAUGACACUAGGAAAGGAAACCUGAAUGGGUAUAUCUCACAAUACCUUUCAAAAACAUAUUUAUUUAGGUUAUAUUUCAUCCCCAAAAUCUAAAUACAGAGAAAAUAUAUUUUGCUGUAUAAAAAAAAAAAAGAUUUUAUUUUAUAUUUAUUUUUAUUAACAAGGAAUUAAUUUAUAAUUUAUCAUAAAUUCUAAUAUUUAUUAUAUUACUGUAAUGCAUAAAGAUCUCAUUCUCAUUGCUGUAAUGCAAAAAUUAUUUUAAAAGUUCUAUAUAUUACAGUAAUGAGAAUCUAAUGAGAACCACCACUGACAAUUUCGGGAACUAAAAAAAACAUCCAUCUAUAUGGUAUUGUGGUAAUGAGAAGGAAAUGGAUAUAUUGCAACAUUGUUAGGAUUGGGUUGUUUUGUUUUUCUUUUCAGAUGCCUUUUUCUUCUAGUCAGAGUGCUGGGGUUGGGUCUUGCCUGAGUCUUGCUGUUAUUUGGCCAGUGCUGCUUCGUAAGAUGUCUCCUUAAUGGAAAAAGUUGAAACGAGCGUAAUGCCAAUGGCAGCGAACACCAUGAAGCCACCAAACACCAAAAUUCCCAGAGUUUGAAGGUCGUACUCAUCCAUCUUUGCUCAGUCCUGUCCCUCUUAAUCCUGAUCCCGCGUUCAAACUCACAGUGAUAAUCGCCACUGACUUUGAGUUUUGCGAGAGGUCCAGGGUUUAGAUCCCGGACGAGCCCCCAUAUGUCACACCUGGCUCAAUGGUGCGGCAUUAAGGGAAGGCGACACAGCGGAGUAAACUCAAAUAAAAGAAUUUAUUACAUCUAAAUUAACACAACAAAAUAAUCAAAACAUCAGUCAUCAGUAAUAUCAGUCUGAAAUGCAAGUGAUUGGAUGUAAAACUAUGGAAUGUUGUCAGGACAAGUGCAUGGCUGCGAAACAAAAAUAACUUUCUCAAAACUGAAGCGUAGAUCUGGCAGACAUUGUUGGGGAAAGUUACUUUUAAAAGUAAUGCAUUACAAUAUUGCGUUAUUCCCUAAAAAAGUAACUAAUUGUGUUAGUUACUUUUUAUGAAAAGUAAUGUGCUACAUUACUUUUGCAUUACUUUUU